AUACGUAGGGGGCGAGCGUUAUCCGGAUUUAUUGGGCGUAAAGCGCGCGCAGGCGGUCAGGUAAGUCGGAUGUGAAAGGCUACGGCUCAACCGUAGAGCGGCAUCCGAAACUGUUUGACUUGAGUGCAGGAGAGGAGAGUGGAAUUCCCGGUGUAGCGGUGGAAUGCGUAGAGAUCGGGAGGAACACCAGUGGCGAAGGCGACUCUCUGGACUGUAACUGACGCUGAGGCGCGAAAGCGUGGGGAGCAAACAGGAUUAGAUACCCUGGUAGUCCACGCCGUAAACGAUGAGUGCUAGGUGUUGGGGGGACCCCCCUCAGUGCCGCAGGUAACCCAAUAAGCACUCCGCCUGGGGAGUACGGUCGCAAGACUGAA
rnacentral:rRNA from 1 species